CGAUAAUGUCCCAGGCAGACAAAGGGGCGAAGGUUAGAGGGGCCACAGACAGAGAGAAAGAGCAUGACGGGCUUUGCAGGCUGACUGUGGGGGACCGGCUCUCUUGGACUCCACUGGGCGCCCCGGUUCCUUUAGAUCCGCCCUGCCCCCUGCUUGGCCAUGACCUCCUGUGGUUAAGCCCCUGAAAUGUGAGCCUCCUCAUUCUGAUGUGCUGAAAGUAGACGCAGAAAAUAAAAACACAGGUACCCAGGUAACUUCGAAAUUCGGAUAAAUAAGAAAUAAACUUUGAGCAUGUCCCAUGCAAUGUUUAGGAUAUACUUAUGCUAAAAAGUUUUGUUUUCGUUGCUUAAAAUUCAAAGUUAGCUGGGCUGCCUGUAUGUCACCUGGCAAAAUCUAGCCAUUAAGUGUAAAUAUACACUAGAUUUCAAACAGUAAGAACAGAAAAAAAAAAAAGAACUGAAAAAGAAAAGGUAAAAUGGCUCAAUGCCUUUUGUGUGGAUUCCAGGUUGAAAGUCACAACAAUCCUUUGGACAUCCUGGGUUAAUGGAGAUGUAUCACGGACACGAACUUGUUUAACAAGGCUGCUGGGAAACUGGCAGUUACACACACAGCUCUCACUUGGCAUUGGUGGGACCCUGGUGCCUACCACUCCUGCAGACCUGGGCCUUCCGGGAUGUUCCCGGGUUUAGCACCAAAAGCCCCACUGCGUUCCAGGAACUCCUCAGUCCUGAGCAAACCGGGAUGGCUGGUACGCUGGGGCAUUGCAGGGGGCGGGGCACCUCGCUUCUGAGCCGCCCUCUCCUGCUCUGGGCCCUGCAGCUCCAGCGUGCGGCUGGCGAGGUGACAGUCGGUUCGGCAGCUGAGCGUAGGGGGUGGGUGGGGGAGGCUCAGAGAGGCCAAUCUCUAGCCUGAAGUCACACGGCAUGGGUGGCAGAACUGGGGCACGAACCCAAGGCUGUGACUGCAGAGCCUGCUUGCAGGAGAAAGGCCCCCACGGAGGAACCGAGGAAGGAAGGAAGACCACUUCCUGUCUUAGACGCAAAGGCACGGACCUCUGGACUCUCCCAGAGGGCCGCCUGUCUCCACGGCUGCCCCCUCUACGACGUGUGUACAAGGCAAGGUGUUUCAGGGAAUCAGUACCAGUCCAGGAAGGAAGGCAUGGCGCUGUUACUCUCCCAUUGCGCAGCUAUCCCCGGAGCCUGAAUCCCAAUCCUAAGCGGAAACCUGAAGCAACAAACCCUGGCCAUGACAGACAAGGAGGCACCCACCAAGCGCUCAUGUUCAGAGCAAAAACUAGGCGACUUCCAGCCAGCGUGGCCAGUGCUCAGAGAGGACCAUUCUUCAGCCUUUGGAAACGACAGCUACAGAGCCUGGAGGCAACGUGCAAACCCUUUAUGGUAGAAACAAGGGGUGUUUCCCUUGUGGGUCAGUGGUAAAGAAUCUGCCUGCCAGUGCAGGAGACACGGGGCCAAAUGCUGGCCUGGGAAGAUUCCACGUUACUCGGAGCAACUGAGCCUGUACACCACUGCUGAGCCUGUGCUCUAGAGCCCAUGAGCUGCAAAUGCUAAAGCCUGUGUGCCUAGGGCCCGUGCUCUGCAACGAGAGAAGACACUGCAAUGAGAAGCCCGCGCACCACAACUGGAGAGUAGCCGCCGCUCGCCACAGCUAGAGAAAAGUCUGCACGGCAGACCCAGCGCAGCCAAGUUAAAGAAAGAAAAUCUAAAAAAAUAAUUGUUUUUUAAAAAAUCGUGGGCCUGUGGGCAGAUGCUGGAAAGGAAUCGGGGGGAGAAAAAAAAAGCUAGAAUGUUUGUCAGGUCCAUGGAGUUGUAGAUGGAUUUUUUUCUUUUUUGGCUUCCUCAUGAUGCAUGUGGGAUCUUAGUUCCCUGACCAGGGAUCAAGCCUGUGCCCCAUUGCAUUGAGAGCGCAGAGUCCUAACCGCUCGAUUGCCAGGGAAUCCUGUAGAUGGAUUUUUAGAGUCCAAAUUUUCAUUAUCUUUGUACAAUCAAUAAUAAAUUAUCAUCAGUUCAGUUCA
ensembl:lncRNA